GCAUGCCUAGCACAUGCAGUCGAACGGUAGCACAGAGGAGCUUGCUCCUUGGGUGACGAGUGGCGGACGGGUGAGUAAUGUCUGGGAAACUGCCCGAUGGAGGGGGAUAACUACUGGAAACGGUAGCUAAUACCGCAUAACGUCGCAAGACCAAAGAGGGGGACCUUCGGGCCUCUUGCCAUCGGAUGUGCCCAGAUGGGAUUAGCUAGUAGGUGGGGUAACGGCUCACCUAGGCGACGAUCCCUAGCUGGUCUGAGAGGAUGACCAGCCACACUGGAACUGAGACACGGUCCAGACUCCUACGGGAGGCAGCAGUGGGGAAUAUUGCACAAUGGGCGCAAGCCUGAUGCAGCCAUGCCGCGUGUAUGAAGAAGGCCUUCGGGUUGUAAAGUACUUUCAGCGAGGAGGAAGGCGUUGUGGUUAAUAACCGCAGCGAUUGACGUUACUCGCAGAAGAAGCACCGACAAACUCCGUGCCAGCAGCCGCGGAAAUACGGAGGGUGCAAGCGUUAAUCGGAAUUACUGGGCGUAAAGCGCACGCAGGCGGUCUGUCAAGUCGGAUGUGAAAUCCCCGGGCUCAACCUGGGAACUGCAUCCGAAACUGGCAGGCUAGAGUCUUGUAGAGGGGUGUAGAAUUCCAGGUG
rnacentral:rRNA from 1 species